AUUGAACGCUGGCGGCAGGCCUAACACAUUCAAGUCGCACGAGUGGCGGACGGUUGAGUAAUUUCUGUGAAACUUCCAGAUGGAUGGUGAUAACUACUGUAAACGGUCGCUAAUACCGCAUACCAUCGGCUGUGCCCAGAUGGGAUUAGCUUGUUGGUGGGGUAACGGCUCACCAAGGCGACUAUCCCUAGCUGUUCUGCGAGGAUGACCAGCCAAACGUGAACUGAGACAAGGUCCAGACUCCGACGUGAGGAAGCAGUGGGGAAUAUUGCACAAUGGGCGCAAGCCUGAGGCAUCCAUGCCGCGUGGAUGAAGAAGGCCUUAGGGGUGUAAAGUACUUUCAGCGGGGAGGCGUUACCCGCAGAAGAAGCACCGGCUAACUCCGUGCCAGCAGCCGCGGUAAUUC
rnacentral:rRNA from 1 species